rnacentral:rRNA from 1 species
AUUGAACGCUGGCGGCAGGCCUAACACAUGCAAGUCGAGCGAGCGGCGGCCGGGUGAGUAAUGCCUGGGAAUUGCCCAGUCGAGGGGGAUAACAGUUGGAAACGACUGCUAAUAACGCAUACGAUUGGAUUGACCAGGUGGGAUUAGCUAGUUGGGGAGGUAAUGGAUCACCAAGGCGACGAUCCCUAGCUGGUCUGAGAGGAUGAUCGGCCACACUGGGACGGAGACACGGCCCAGACUCCUACGGGAGGCAGCAGUGGAGAAUAUUCCACAAUGGGGGAAACCCUGAUGGAGCAAUGCCGCGUGAGUGAAGAAGGCUUUCGGGUUGUAAAGCACUGUCGGCGAGGAAGCGGUACUCAAAGAGAAAGCAACGGCUAACUCCGUGCCAGCAGCCGCGGUAAUAC